AACACACCUUGCGCCCUUUGGCCAUUCCGAAGGGCAUGCCUGUUUGAGUAUCAUGAACACCUCAACUCUCAUGGCCUGCCAUGACGAGCUUGGACUUUGGGGGUCUUGCCGGCGUACCGUCGGCUCCUCUCAAAUGAAUCAGCUUGCCAGUGUUUGGUGGCAUCACGGGUGUGAUAACUAUCUACGCUUGUGGUUUCCGCCAGGCAACCUCCAGUGAUGGAGGUUCGCUGGAGCUCACAGAUGUCUCUCCUCAGCGAGGACGGCCUUUUGAACGUUUGAUCUCAAAUCAGGUAGGACUACCCGCUGAACUUAA
rnacentral:misc_RNA from 1 species